ensembl:snRNA U6 U6 spliceosomal RNA
GUGUUCCCCUCAGCAGCACAUAUACUAAAAUGGUUAAAAUACAGAGAAGAUCAGCAUGGCCCCUGUGCAAGGAUGACACGCAAAUUCAUGGAGCGUUCCAUAUUUUU